AACGAACGCUGGCGGCAGGCCUAACACAUGCAAGUCGAACGCUGUAGCAAUACAGAGUGGCAGACGGGUGAGUAACGCGUGGGAACCUUCCCAAUGGUACGGAAUAGCUCAGGGAAACUUGAGGUAAUACCGUAUAAGCCCCUAGGGGGAAAGAUUUAUCGCCAUUGGAUGGGCCCGCGUCGGAUUAGCUAGUUGGUAGGGUAAUGGCCUACCAAGGCAACGAUCCGUAGCUGGUUUGAGAGAAUGACCAGCCACACUGGGACUGAGACACGGCCCAGACUCCUAAGGGAGGCAGCAGUGGGGAAUCUUGGACAAUGGGCGAAAGCCUGAUCCAGCCAUGCCGCGUGAGUGACGAAGGCCUUAGGGUUGUAAAGCUCUUUUGCCGGGGACGAUAAUGACGGUACCCGGAGAAUAAGUCCCGGCUAACUUCGUGCCAGCAGCCGCCGUAA
rnacentral:rRNA from 1 species